AUUUGAAAUCUGGCCUCUUUGGGGUCCGAGUUGUAAUUUGUAGAGGAUGUUUCGGGUACCGCUCCAGUUUAAAUUUCUUGGAACAGAAUGUCAGAGAGGGUGAGAAUCCCGUCUUGGACUGGCGGUAGGGCCCAUGUGAAACUCCUUCGACGAGUCGAGUUGUUUGGGAAUGCAGCUCAAAAUGGGUGGUAAAUUUCAUCUAAAGCUAAAUAUUGGCCAGAGACCGAUAGCGCACAAGUAGAGUGAUCGAAAGAUGAAAAGCACUUUGAAAAGAGAGUUAAACAGUAUGUGAAAUUGUUGAAAGGGAAGCGCUUACAACCAGACUKGAGCGCGGCGGUUCCCCCUUCCUUUUGGUUGGGUUACUCCGUCGUGUCCAGGCCAACAUCGGUUCUGGGGGUCGGUUAAAGGCUCUGGGAAUGUACCUACCCUUCGGGCGUAGACUUAUAGCCCAGAGUGUCAUGCGACCUCCCGGGACCGAGGAACGCGCUUCGGCUCGGAUGUUGGCGUAAUGGUUGUCAGCGACCCGUCUUGAAACACGGACCAAGGAGUCUAACAUCUAUGCGAGUGUUUGGGUGUCAAACCCGGAACGCGAAAUGAAAGUGAACGGAGGUAGGAAGCCUUGAGGCUGCACUAUCGACCGAUCCUGAUGUCUUCGGAUGGAUUUGAGUAAGAGCAUAGCUGUUGGGACCCGAAAGAUGGUGAACUAUGCCUGAAUAGGGUGAAGCCAGAGGAAACUCUGGUGGAGGCUCGCAGCGGUUCUGACGUGCAAAUCGAUCGUCAAAUUUAGGUAUAGGGGCGAAAGACUAAUCGAACCAUCUGGUAGCUGGUUCCUGCCGAAGUUUCCCUCAGGAUAGCAGUAACGUUUUCAGUUUUAUGAGGUAAAGCGAAUGAUUAGAAGGCCUUGGGGUUGAAACAACCUUAACCUAUUCUCAAACUUUAAAUAUGUAAGAAGUCCUUGUUGCUUAAUUGAACGUGGACAUUUGAAUGUAUCGUUACUAGUGGGCCAUUUUUGGUAAGCAGAACUGGCGAUGCGGGAUGAACCGAACGUGAGGUUAAGGUGCCGGAAUGUACGCUCAUCAGACACCACAAAAGGUGUCAAUGCAUCCAGACAGCCGGACGGUGGCCAUGGAAGUCGGAAUCCGCUUAGGAGUGUGUAACAACUCACCGGCCGAAUGCAUUGGCCCUGAAAAUGGAUGGCGCUUAAGCGUGCUACCUAUACCUCGCCGUCACGGUUGACAUGAUGCCGUGACGAGUAGGCAGGC
rnacentral:rRNA from 1 species